rnacentral:rRNA from 1 species
AGUGAACGCUGGCGGCAGGCCUAACACAUGCAAGUCGAGCGGCAGCGCGUCCGACCACCCUCGGGUGGUCGGAUGGCGGCGAGCGGCGGACGGGUGAGGAAUGCAUCGGAAUCUGCCUCGUUGUGGGGGAUAACGUAGGGAAACUUACGCUAAUACCGCAUACGACCUACGGGUGAAAGUGGGGGACCUUCGGGCCUCACGCGAUGAGAUGAGCCGAUGCCGGAUUAGCUAGUUGGCGGGGUAAAGGCCCACCAAGGCGACGAUCCGUAGCUGGUCUGAGAGGAUGAUCAGCCACACUGGAACUGAGACACGGUCCAGACUCCUACGGGAGGCAGCAGUGGGGAAUAUUGGACAAUGGGGGCAACCCUGAUCCAGCCCAUGCCGCGUGUGUGAAGAAGGCCUGGUUGUAAGCACUUUGUU